AGGGGGGACGCGUUGGGAUCGCGGCGUGCGGCGGCAGACGGAGCCCAGGCUCCCAGCGGCAAGGUGAGCAGAGCUACGCUCCUCGCUGAACGUGGACCGAGCUCGGCGGCUGCGGGGGAGACGCGCCGGAGCCGCGACCGAGAGCGGGAACGAGGCGGCGGCGGAGGGGGAGCCCGUGAGCCGCCGGGCGGGGAGCCCAAGCCGCGCUGUCGCCGCGCAGGGACGACUUGGCCAACACACUCACACACUCACACACACCCAGCCCGAGCGGGCGCUCGCGGCGAACCGUCAACAUGGCGCUGGGGCUCCUGCCCGAGCGCGGGCGGCAGCAGCGGCGGUGCGGGAGCUGCUGAGCCCGACCGAGCCCGGCCCAGCCGCCGGAGCCCGGAGGAUCGCGCGGGGUUGUCGCCACCUGCCCGGAGGCUUUGAGGCCGCCCCGCCCCGCCCCGCCCCGCCCCCACCCGGCCCAGAGCCCACCCCUCGGCGGGGCCGACCCCGAGGGCAGCCGGCUGGCAGCAGACGGCGAGGGAGGCGAGCGAGCGCGGCGCCGCGAGCGGGCUGCGGGCAGCCGGGGACGGCAAACUUUGCUGCUCGCCGCGCUUCCCCGGCCCGGCUCCUUCUUCCGUCGCCAACGUCGCCACCCCACUUUCCUCCAACCCCGCACACCAGUUCCCAUCCACCCCGUCGCCCCUUGCUUCUCCUCGCCGCCUCGACUCUGCUCCGGGGAAAAACUUCAAAGCGCCGGAUCGCAGGCUCUCUGCUUACUCCCCGGCCGGGGAUUUCAGACUAGACGCUUGAAGAAAAGCUGCCAUCCAAGAAGACGACAUGCUUUCAGCAACCCCCCUGUAUGGGAACGUUCACAGCUGGAUGAACAGCGAGAGGGUCCGCAUGUGUGGAAUCAGUGACGACAGGUGAAUGCAUGGGUCUGGCUGAGGCCUGGGGAGCAUGCGGGUCCUUCCCUGGGGCUCCUAAGCAGAGCCCCCUUCACCUCCUCACAGCCAGAGUGGGCCCAAAGGGGGGUGGUGGGGGGAGAUCUCCUGCCUAGCUGGCAGCCUUGAUUUACAGUUUUAACAGGCAACCCGGCUCAGCGAAGCAUUGCCGCCCUUUAAGAGAUUAGCCCCUAAAGCGGCCUUUCAGUGCUCUUUCGUCCUUAAUUUAUUAUUUCAUAUUUAUGAAGGAGAAUUAAUCCCAGUCUAUAUGCUGCUUUAACUCUAAAUGUCAGGAGUGUGGGCCCAGGUGGAUCGGCAUUCGAUGUGCUUUUAAAACAAAUAGUUUGCUCAGUAAUAAAUGGGGCAAAAGCCACCCUUCA
rnacentral:lncRNA from 1 species